GACGAACGCUGGCGGCGUGCUUAACACAUGCAAGUCGAACGGAAAGGCCCUGCUUGCAGGGUACUCGAGUGGCGAACGGGUGAGUAACACGAAGGUGAUCUGCCCUGCACUUCGGGAUAAGCCUGGGAAACUGGGUCUAAUACCGGUACGGAGCCAUUUUUAGUGUGAUGGUUGGAAAGUUUUGUCGGUGUAGGAUGAGCUCGCGGCCUAUCAGCUUGUUGGUGGGGUAAUGGCCUACCAAGGCGGCGACGGGUAGCCGGCCUGAGAGGGUGGACGGCCACAUUGGGACUGAGAUACGGCCCAGACUCCUACGGGAGGCAGCAGUGGGGAAUAUUGCACAAUGGGCGGAAGCCUGAUGCAGCGACGCCGCGUGGGGGAUGACUGCCUUCGGGUUGUAAACUCCUUUCGCUAGGGACGAAGCUUUUGUGACGGUACCUAGAUAAGAAGCACCGGCUAACUACGUG
rnacentral:rRNA from 1 species